UCAGGGAGCUCGGCGGCGACUGCCGUCCGGGGUCUCGGAGCAGCUCGCGGCCGCGUGAUGGACCGAGCAAGGAUGGGGCGCUGGGCGCGCAGGAUAGCGUCAGCUAAAGAAGGACUGAAGCAGAAAAUCCUUCUGGAGGGAACUUUGUAAAUAAGGAACCUCAGCUUCCAGUUAAUACUUACUCCCAAGGAAACUAUCAAUAUCCAUUACUGAGGCUCCUCAAUCCAGCCGAAUCUGGUAGUGAAGUUGAUGACGGAACAGGCAUCGUUGACACAUAAGAGAUCCAUGGCCUGAAUGAGGCAUGAAUGUGACAUGAGUGAAUGUUUCUAUAAUCAAUGAGAUUUCAGAUCUUUAAUUUUAAAAAAAUCUAUCUUUACUGGAGUGUUUCCUAUCCCUAGUGACCCAACCUUUCCAAGUGGCUGAUCGAGGAGAAAAAAGGAAAAAUGAGGAGGAAGAGGAGGAGGAGGAGGAGGAGGAGAAAAACCCUAUGAAACCAUUGGCAAAGGAGGAAAGUAUGCAAAGGAGGCAUAAUUGAAACUGGAAAAAAGGUCAGAGCAUCCUGGGCCAGGCAGCACAGGGAGGUGGAAAUUGCAUUAGGCCCUGAGGGAUCAAUAUUAAUAAUAUAGGUUAAAGGGAUAUGCCCAUAAAGGCAUUUGACUAAAAAGGCAAUAAAGUGGCAGCAUUUCCUGCCCUUCAAGUCUCUAAGGGUUGUUUUUAAUGAGUGGAAAAAAAUUUUAAAUGUUCUACAGUUUUGCCACUACACUUUCUUUCUUGUGCUGCCACACUUCCCAUGACUUUUAUUAUGGCAUUAAAAUAUUUCCCAGGCAUUAUCGCCACUUCUACCCUGUGACAGAAUUUUAAAGGGGACCAGUGGUGAAGUGAAUAAGCAAACAGUGGAGUGAAGACCAUCUGAGAAUGCAGCUCCGGGACCUCCCACCCACGACGUGCUCCACCUCUCACCAUACCCAAAGGCCUGGACAGAAAGCCCCACAGGAUUCUCUUCCCCAAGGAAAUAGUUUCCAGUCCUGUCUUGCAUAAAAUUUCCUGUUGAAAGGAAUGGUUCAGAGUCAUUCACAUCACAUUUGUAGCUUUUUGUGCAGCUGAGAGGCUGUUUCAAUUAUACAAUGGAGGCAAUUUAGGAAAGCCAAAGGAAAUGUGGAUGCCACUGGAUACAGGACAAAGAUUUUCACAGGUUCUCAUUGAUUUUUUUUUGGUACCGGGGAACGAACUUGGGUCCUUGCGCUUGCGCAGCAGGCGGUGAAACCACUGAACUAAAUCCCCGGCCCAGGUUCUCAUUGAUUUUGAGAUACUGAUUCUCUGCUCAGUUCUCUUAAGAAGGUGUGAAUUUGCUGGAGACAUAUUUGAAGGGAAAGUGAUGUGGAAUAGUCUCUAGAGGACCUCGAAGAUUCUUUUGAUAUUAAGACUUUAAAAUGAUAAAUCUCCUUUUGCACGUGCCUAGUAUAUGCGAGAUUUUCAGUAUUUAUUUAACAGAUUAUUAUUAGCCACCUACUCUGCAAGCAUCAAGGAUAUCGUGUAGAAUGAAAUAGGCACUCUCUACCUUUGAUGGUUCCUAGUCUAGAAGGAAGGCAAUCAACCAAAUAUAAUCAAGUCUGUCUUAGGUGCCACAAUGCAGGACUACUGUAUGGUGUUGAAGAACACUUGGAAGGGAUUCGGGCUAUUCAGCAAAAUCAGAGAAGAUCCACAGGAAGUGCUGACUGAGCUAAGAUGUGAGGAAGGGGCAAGUAUUAUAUGGAUGAUACAGUGAAGGAAGGAGGCAGGAAUGCAGGACAAGCUUCCUGGUAGGUCUAUGUGGUGAUGGCAGAAGAAUCCAAGAUGAGGCUUGGAGCAGAAGUUGCCGAGGAGGUCAGGGGACAGGUUCCACAGACUUUGCUAUAGUCCACGAUUAGAUAUUCUCAUCCUACUCUGCAGAUUACUUAAUAUCCUCACUUUACAGAAUAAGAAAAGAAAUCUCAGAAGGUUGAGGAACUGGUCCAAAAUCAAAGAACUAGUAGGUACCGAGGUGAGGCUAGUACAAGAUUUAUCUACUUCAGAACGUGGAUUUUUCAGCCCAUCCUCCUAGUGACUGGCAAUCCUACACUGGCCCCUGCCUUAGUGCAUGCUACCUCUGCUUGGCUUGUUAAGGACAACCUCAUGCUCUGAUUUGGGGUUCUAACUCACCAAACCAUACUCUGCUAUGAUAAGUGUCCGCUUCACCUGUCCAAUUUGAGUCCAUGUUUCGGAUAAUGCUAACUUUUCAGUUAUCCAACCAGAGCCAUCAAUAUUGAGAGCUCUCUUGGGUGACUAUGAUAACACCCUUCCAGAAAUAAAACAGCUAGCUACAUUGUUUCACUCACAUAAGACAUUUAUUCUUGUUCUUUGAGCAGGAGUAGCAACCUUGGUUGUUUCUUGUGUUCUUCAUUGUAACCUCAGUGAGUCACUCAGUGAGGUAGAGAUAUAUUAUUACUUCCUUUUUAUAAGCUAGGAAAUUGAGGAUUACCAAGUGGAAGCAACUUGCCUGAGGUCACCCAGUUUAUGAAUGAUGAGAUGAGGUUUGAAUCCAGGAGACGCAUUUGAAUCCAAAGCCAAGCUUUUGACUUGCUCUUUCAAAAAUUCAACUUUAGGAGGAAAAUUGGUGUUUUAAGAAAAUCAGUAAAUAGGAAAAUCCCUAAACUGGUUACAUGCCAGUAUGUACUAGAAUUCAACAAUAAUUACAUUGUUAAAGACGGAAGAACUUGUCAUAAAAAGAUUCCCUGAAGCUUUGACACCAAUUACAGAUGCUUUAGGAAAUCACUGUGAUUUCCUAACUUAAGAAAUCGAGUUUAUUAUGCAGGAUGGUUCUUUUAACAGAAAUGGCUCAGACCCAAAUAUGAAAGAUACAUACAUUUUGACAAUGUGUGUGCAAGUGUCUGGGGGUGGGCAUGGUAGGUGGAAAGGGAAAGAGUAAGGAAAUUAUUCUAAUUUGGUGAGCUUUUAAAAAUGGCAAGUUUGUUGCAAAGUUCACAUGGCCAGGCAGAGGUGAGGAGGAGGGGGUAGAGCGGAUUGCUGAGUUAGAUAAGCCACAGUGUGAGGGGCUGUCUUUGCGGAGCUGUACUUCUUCUUUUGUAAAGAAGGAAGCUUUCUUUCAUGGUGCAUUUAUGUCAAAAUUUUAAAAUCUCUCACAUGAGACCAUCAUAUCAACCUUGUCAGGUCUCACUUGUGGGAAUGAGUGGGAUUUGAAAACUUCUGAGUGUGCUAUUACACUUUCCAUAUCUGUGUGGGGAAUGUGACUGCAUGGAAAUGUGACCGAGAGUCACAGGGGGUGGGGUCUGAGGGGUGCAGCUUCAAACUAAUGAACCAAGUGGGUUGCUUCAGGUGGGGCAAGGACUUUGGGAAGAAAAUAUAUUUUAUUUUUUACACUUUUUACUUGUAUCACCUUAAUGAAACUGUGUGACAUCAAAUGCCAGAAUUUAAGUCAAUUGUUUCUUUGAUUUCAAGGUAUACAACUUAACAGUAAUCCAUUUUUCCUCACUGAAAUGAAAUAAAGAUAGAUCUUGGGCCUUUUCAGUUUUAGAACUCAUCAAGAGACAAAGAAGCAUCAUGUAAACAUCAGAUAUUUUCAUUAAGGUUUGUCAACUUCCAGAGAAAAUUUGACAUUUGUCGCAGGCUUGAGUAAAUGUAACCAUAAAUCCAACCAUAGUUGUGUUUUAAAGUUAACCCCAGCUCUGUAUAAUAAAGGGUGCCAGGCAAGGAAGCGGCCUAGAUGUUUUUUUUAGAUGCAGGAAUUGUUCAUUUGUUGUAUAAAAUUAACAUGACUGUCAAGUUUUACUUCAAUAAUUCUUAACGUUUUUAUUCCUAUAAGUGAACAUCUUUCAGGUUUACCAAGAAGCUUCCUGUUUUCUUUUUAAUUUAAUUUGUUGAAUGCUUCUUGUGUAAAUAAACAGCAAAUUUCCUAUCCUUGGCAAACUAAGUGAUUUCCUCUAGUCACCAGUAGAGGGAGCUGUUGGCAUUUGGUUUGGUAUUACUACUCGACCUGGAAGUUCCCUUUUUAAUUAAUUCAAUGUUUGAAAUCAAACCACCGUUUAAAUGUAAUGAUAUUAAUAUGCAAGGAUAGAUGUGUAAACGUGGAGAUUUUCCAUUCCUAUUAAACUUUCUACAGAACCACAGGUUUCUGGUUCUUCUGUGGGCCCCUUUUAGAGAGCUUAUGUUAUAGCAAUACAGGCUGCUAUAAAUUAAAGCUGCUCAGAAUUGAGUUCAUGUACCUAGGCAAUGAUUCAACAUUUCUGAGACUGAUUACAAGUCAAGAAAGAAAGCAGCUUCUUCCCUCAGCUCUUAAGAAAAAAGGAUAGGCAAGAAAAGAAGAAAGCAAAAACGAUGUUUGGCCUCAAGUGAUACUUGAAGUUUUGGAAAGAAAAAUUAUAAAUUCAAGAUUUAUAGUAAUAAGAGUAUCUUUAAUCUGGGGGAAGAAUUCUCUGUAGUUAAGGUUCUGGGCAUAUUUGAUGCUGUCCUUAAGAUAAAAUAUAGCACAUUGAUUUUUCUUAUAUUCCUUCUAACCUGUAGCCAUGAGUUUUAAAUGAUUUAUUUCACAGCGUAUUAAUUGAAACAUAUUUUUACCAUUUGUACUUAGAUUUUAGUUAACAUAGACCCCUAAGUGACAAUUUCCAAGUACUUCACUCAAGUAUUUUCUGUAUCUAACAGAGAGUAAUUUGUAAUGUACAAACUAACCGCAGUGGUUACAAUCCGCAGACAUCUAGCAGAGAGGUGAGGGGUCAUUGUGAUGUUCAGGACCUCUGCUGAAUGGCCUCUGAGAACCACUGUCCCACUCCCUGGGUAAG